CCUACGGGAGGCAGCAGUGGGGAAUAUUGCACAAUGGGCGAAAGCCUGAUGCAGCGACGCCGCGUGAGGGAUGACGGCCUUCGGGUUGUAAACCUCUUUCAGCAGGGAAGAAGCGAGAGUGACGGUACCUGCAGAAGAAGCGCCGGCUAACUACGUGCCAGCAGCCGCGGUAAUACGUAGGGCGCAAGCGUUGUCCGGAAUUAUUGGGCGUAAAGAGCUCGUAGGCGGCUUGUCACGUCGGGUGUGAAAGCCCGGGGCUUAACCCCGGGUCUGCAUUCGAUACGGGCUAGCUAGAGUGUGGUAGGGGAGAUCGGAAUUCCUGGUGUAGCGGUGAAAUGCGCAGAUAUCAGGAGGAACACCGGUGGCGAAGGCGGAUCUCUGGGCCAUUACUGACGCUGAGGAGCGAAAGCGUGGGGAGCGAACAGGAUUAGAUACCCUGGUAGUCCACGCCGUAAACGGUGGGAACUAGGUGUUGGCGACAUUCCACGUCGUCGGUGCCGCAGCUACGACAUUAAGUUACCCGUCCGUCGGGUAGGUACGGCCGCGACGGACGUAAACUACAAUAGAAGUUAGACGGCGUGAGACGUGCCGAACGGACGACGACGAGGGAGGUAGG
rnacentral:rRNA from 1 species